CACCGAAGCUGCGGCAGCGACACUAUGUGUUGUUGGGUAGGGGAGCGUUCUGUAAGCCUGUGAAGGUGUGUCGUGAGGCAUGCUGGAGGUAUCAGAAGUGCGAAUGCUGACAUAAGUAACGAUAAAGCGGGUGAAAAGCCCGCUCGCCGGAAGACCAAGGGUUCCUGUCCAACGUUAAUCGGGGCAGGGUGAGUCGACCCCUAAGGCGAGGCCGAAAGGCGUAGUCGAUGGGAAACGGGUUAAUAUUCCCGUACUUGGUGUUACUGCGAAGGGGGGACGGAGAAGGCUAUGUUGGCCGGGCGACGGUUGUCCCGGUUUAAGCGUGUAGGUGUGUGUUCCAGGUAAAUCCGGUUCACUUUAACACUGAGGCGUGAUGACGAGGCACUACGGUGCUGAAGCAACAAAUGCCCUGCUUCCAGGAAAAGCCUCUAAGCAUCAGGUAACAUCAAAUCGUACCCCAAACCGACACAGGUGGUCAGGUAGAGAAUACCAAGGCGCUUGAGAGAACUCGGGUGAAGGAACUAGGCAAAAUGGUGCCGUAACUUCGGGAGAAGGCACGCUGACAC
rnacentral:rRNA from 1 species